GUGUAUGUGUGUACCACCCUGAACAUGCCCGAUCCCGUCUGAUCUCAGAAGCUAAGCAGGGUCGGACCUGGUUAGUCCUUGGAUGGGAGACCGCCUAGGAAGACCAGGUGCUGUAGGAG
ensembl:rRNA 5S_rRNA 5S ribosomal RNA